CCUACGGGUGGCAGCAGUGAGGAAUAUUGGUCAAUGGACGAGAGUCUGAACCAGCCAAGUCGCGUGAAGGAUGACUGUCCUAUGGGUUGUAAACUUCUUUUAUAAGGGAAUAAAACGAGGCACGUGUGCCUUUUUGCAUGUACCUUAUGAAUAAGGAUCGGCUAACUCCGUGCCAGCAGCCGCGGUAAUACGGAGGAUCCGAGCGUUAUCCGGAUUUAUUGGGUUUAAAGGGAGCGUAGGUGGGCUGUUAAGUCAGUUGUGAAAGUUUGCGGCUCAACCGUAACAUUGCAGUUGAUACUGGCAGUCUUGAGUACAGGAGAGGUAGGCGGAAUUCGUGGUGUAGCGGUGAAAUGCUUAGAUAUCACGAAGAACUCCGAUUGCGAAGGCAGCUUACUGAACUGUGACUGACACUGAGGCUCGAAAGUGUGGGUAUCGAACAGGAUUAGAUACCCGUGUAGUC
rnacentral:rRNA from 1 species